rnacentral:lncRNA from 1 species
CCAAACCUGAAACCCAGAGAGCACUUACCAAGAAAGGAAGUACUGAUGGAGCACACAGAAGAGUGAGUCGACAUCCAGGGGCAGUCUGGAAGACUUCCUAGAGCUCUCCCAGGAGAUUCCAAUGUGCCGCCAAAUUUGAGAGCCUUUCUUGAAGAUCCUCAUGGAUCCGGCCUGGGAGAUGAAUGAAAUCAAACCAAGUUUGAGGAGAACAUGUGAGGUCCUGCAGCCAGGGACUUGCUCCUGAGUUUGAAGGACAAGGCCAUGACCCCGAGAAGAAUCAUCUCUGCUGACCUCUAAAUCAGUCAAGAGCAUUGUGAAGUUAUGUCCACUCAUUCUACCAUCAGUUGGUACUCACUUCGUGCCUAUUUUGAAAACAAGUCAGUCCGUCUCUGCUUUCAAGGGUCUGGUUGGGGGAGAUGGGUCUAAAAUGCACAAGUGAACCCUACGUGACUUCUGAUAAGAUGUGGAGAGUCCAGGUGCCAUUGGGACAUCUAAUCUGGCCUCCUGUAUCCUUUCAAGUCAUCUUAAGGAGUCCACAGACUGGGGUGAAUGAAGUAUUUCUCUCUCAUCCCCCUCCUACAGAACAGCUUGGGGCAAAUCCUGUCACCAAGUAGAAACCAGUGCUGUAAGAACAUGGAGGAUGAUCAGUCCAUGGAUCAAAACUGAGAUGCCAGCUCCCAGUUAGGACAAGCCCAGUGUGGAGGACAGAGCUGGGGAUUGCUUCUUGGCCUUUGCGUGGCCCACGUCUACUAAUGCUCCUGGCGGCACACUGCCUUCCCCGCAUCAGGGCACGUGUGCAGCUGUGAUCAGUGAAAAGCCGCUCCAACCACCACCCUCAUCUCCAAACAAUAAAGCUUCAUUGGUGAAGGCAUUUGAGAAUUACAGUGGCUUGUUAAUCUCACGUCAGUCAUCCCUAUCUUAUUGAAUUUAAGAAGAAGGGAAACUCAACACUGCUCAAGAGCAGUCCCUCUAAAUAUAAAUGUUUACCUCAAGGCAUUGCACUUCUUUCAAAACACUCUCUUCCCAUUCCUGUCCUUGCCAUUUCACUCCCUGUCCACCUCAUGGGAGUUCACCCCCUCUCACUUCCUGCCCAACCCAAGCCUGGUAUGGACAUUUUCUAUAACUAAAUUAGUCUUUAGAUGUCUCUAGCUGUAUUUGUUUUCUUCUCCUACCUUUUUUCUUUUCCUUUCCUACUCUUUCAUGUCAGACUUAAUUAAUCAAUAAACUUUUAUUGAGCAUUUCCUAAGUGCUGGGUUCAAUCAGGGAAUAUAUAGACAAACCCAGGGGCUAGUCCUGGUCCUGAAGCCCUUAUGAUCUAACUGAUGAGACGAGGACAAACGGAGGUAGGUAAAGAUCAUGUGGCGUUAGCUGGCAUGGUGGUGUUGGUAUAAACCAAGGGCUUGGGUGGUUAGGGCUUCACACUUCAAGGAGGGGAGACUUCCACACGGGGCGGUGGAUAGAAUCUGGAACUACAGGGACUUUGUGACUGGCCAUAACUGAAGACUUGCGUGUACCAAGCAGUAUGCCAAG